GAUGAACGCUGGCGGCGUGCCUAAUACAUGCAAGUCGAGCGAAUGGAUUAAGAGCUUGCUCUUAUGAAGUUAGCGGCGGACGGGUGAGUAACACGUGGGUAACCUGCCCAUAAGACUGGGAUAACUCCGGGAAACCGGGGCUAAUACCGGAUAACAUUUUGAACCGCAUGGUUCGAAAUUGAAAGGCGGCUUCGGCUGUCACUUAUGGAUGGACCCGCGUCGCAUUAGCUAGUUGGUGAGGUAACGGCUCACCAAGGCAACGAUGCGUAGCCGACCUGAGAGGGUGAUCGGCCACACUGGGACUGAGACACGGCCCAGACUCCUACGGGAGGCAGCAGUGGGGAAUCGUCCGCAAUGGACGAAAGUCUGACGGAGCAACGCCGCGUGAGUGAUGAAGGCUUUCGGGUCGUAAAACUCUGUUGUUAGGGAAGAACAAGUGCUAGUUGAAUAAGCUGGCACCUUGACGGUACCUAACCAGAAAGCCACGGCUAACUACGUGCCAGCAGCCGCGGUAA
rnacentral:rRNA from 1 species